CGGGCAGAAUUGGUUGUACACGCGCCAAAGUUUCCCCUGUACACGCGCGAAGGCUCUUUUCCCCCAAAUCCCUCCCCUGUAGACGCACGAGCUUCCUCCCAAAUCCCACCCCAAUGCCGAGAGCGCUCGCAAAUUAACACCAAAACCACGGCGGCGCAGCUCAUCCAUCGCCGUGCCGCCCGCGCCCUCCUCAAGCCAUCGCCAUUGUAGGCGGCGGCGGCCGCCGCCGCUGCAGACUUGGGCUCCCGCGGCUGCCGCUGCAGAGGCAGCCGGCGGCGGCGGCGGCGGCGUGGGCCUUGACCAACCGGCCGCCCUCGGUAGCUUCGGACGCACCGGAGGUCUCCGCCGCUGCGAUCCUCGCCCGACCAUGCCGCCCUUGACGGAUCCUAGCUAGCCUGCCUCCCUCGGUGGAUCCUACCCUGUCGCCCACGACCGAGACCAACCUGCUGCAGUCGUAGACGUGUGCUUCAACUUCAGAAAUCAGAACCAAGGCUUAAUUAGAAUCAGAAGAUGGAAUGGAUUUGCAAUUAUCUCAUGAAUCAAUUGAUGAUUUCUAAUAGUUUUCUUCUGUCUGAGUUUUACAGGAUGACGAGUGGCUUCCACCCCCCAAAUUCUUAAGAGGUUCUGCAGAACUUCCACCGCCUAUUGCAAAUGAGUCUGAACGUCCAUUGCUUAGACCUGAUGGGGAGACGUGAGUUAUCAUUUAAUCCACGCAUUACUGUUUGGCACACCUUGGGUGUUUGACAUAUUACACUAUGACAUACCUUGGGGUGUGUUUAACUUAUAUCUAUUUUCUUGUGCUAGGCACUGGUUAGAAUUAUAUACAUUUAGAAAAAAAUGUGAGAAAGCCAAAUGGUGUGCUAACAAUUCUGUCCAGACUACAGUGGAUGGUAGCCUUGGUGGUUUGUAUAAGUUUCUUAUGGUGUGUAAAGCCAUUUGAUAUAGUUUUCUAAUUUGUAUCAAAAAUUUCAGACCAUCGCAUCCCUUCAAGGAGUUCAAGGGCCUGAGAUUCCAUGUAUUGUUAUACCUCCACCUCCAGCUUUUUCAACAUUAACCACUUCGUCUCCGAUCUUUUCUCCAGAAAUGCCCUCCAUAGGUGAAUCAACUAAUGGUGCUAAAAAUAUGAAUAAUACAUCGCGUGGAGCAGAAGAUGGAAUGUUUGCUGGCUUGUUUGACGCAAACUGGAAGUUUCUCUCCUCCUGGUGACGAACUACCUCCUUUUUGAGAUGUCUCUUGCGGUGGUGAAGGAAGUGGCAUAAACUUUUUGCGUCGAUUAAUUGGAAGCCAAUGCUUGUUACGGAUAUGCAUACUUAAUUAAGUGCAACAUGACACUUCUCUUUUUGGCCAUGCACAUGCUGAUGGUUGUGAUCUGAUCAGUGACUUACAUGAUUCAUAGGUGUGUGACAAUCCUAGUUAGAUGACACUUUGUGAAGUGUAGGGUACUUUUGUAAGCUCCUGGUUGUUGUCAUGUAAAAUGAUGAUGGUUAAUAUA